GUCGUCAGCUCGUGUCGUGAGAUGUUGGUUAAGUCCGCAACGAGCGCAACCUCGUGUUUAGUUGCUAACAGUUCGGCUGAGAACUCUAAACAGACUGCCUACGCAAGUAGGAGGAAGGUGAGGACGACGUCAAGUCAUCAUGGCCCUUACGGCCAGGGCUACACACGUGCUACAAUGGGGUAUACAAAGAGCAGCGAUACGGUGACGUGGAGCAAAUCUAGAAAAUGCCUCUCAGUUCGGAUUGUAGUCUGCAACUCGACUACAUGAAGUUGGAAUCGCUAGUAAUCGUAGAUCAGCAAUGCUACGGUGAAUACGUUCCCGGGUCUU
rnacentral:rRNA from 1 species